rnacentral:rRNA from 1 species
CCUACGGGAGGCAGCAGUGAGGAAUAUUGGUCAAUGGGCGUAAGCCUGAACCAGCCAAGUCGCGUGAGGGAUGAAGGUUCUAUGGAUCGUAAACCUCUUUUAUAAGGGAAUAAAGUGUGGGACGUGUCCUAUUUUGUAUGUACCUUAUGAAUAAGGAUCGGCUAACUCCGUGCCAGCAGCCGCGGUAAUACGGCGGAUCCGAGCGUUCUCCGGAUUUAUUGGGUUUAAAGGGUGCGUAGGCGGCCUUUUAAGUCAGCGGUGAAAGUCGGUGGCUCAACCAUAGAAGUGCCGUUGAAACUGGGGGGCUUGAGUAUGUUUGAGGCAGGCGGAAGGCGUGGUGGAGCGGUGAAAUGCUUAGAUAUCACGCAGAACCCCGAUUGCGAAGGCAGCCUGCCAAGCCAUGACUGACGCUGAUGCACGAAAGCGUGGGGAUCAAACAGGAUUAGAUACCCUUGUAGUC